rnacentral:rRNA from 1 species
UACGUAGGUGGCAAGCGUUGUCCGGAUUUACUGGGCGUAAAGAGCGCGCAGGCGGUCGUUCAAGUCGCGUGUGAAAGCCCCCGGCUCAACUGGGGAGGGUCACGCGAUACUGAUCGACUGGAAGGCAGGAGAGGGUAGUGGGAUUCCCGGUGUAGUGGUGAAAUGCGUAGAUGUCGGGAGGAACACCAGUGGCGAAGGCGACUACCUGGCCUGUUCUUGACGCUGAGGCGCGAAAGCUAGGGGAGCAAACGGG